GCCUUGGUGGCCGAAUGGUAUGGCAUUGGGGUUUGUCCCAAAAAUAAGGGGGUUCGAGUCCCUCACAUGGCG